rnacentral:lncRNA from 1 species
AGAAUAUGUCUCAGAAUGAGUAUAGAGUUCAAAAUGACAGAGGUGCGAAGAAAAAGGGUGGUAUGCUAGAGCUUGAUACACAAACUGCUCUUCUAGAACAAUCCACUUUGAUGAAUUCUCAAAUGGCAGCUAUGUUGAAGCAUUUCACUAAUACUCCAAAUUCCCAAGCGCAAGUAAUGACAGCUCAAGAUUUGAAAUGUGAUUUUUGUG